rnacentral:rRNA from 1 species
AUACGGAAGAUGCGAGCGUUAUCCGGAUUUAUUGGGUUUAAAGGGAGCGUAGGCGGAUUGUUAAGUCAGCGGUCAAAUGUCGGUGCCCAACAUCGUCCUUCCGUUGAAACUGGCAGUCUUGAAUGCACACAGGGAAGGUGGAAUUCGUCGUGUAGCGGUGAAAUGCUUAGAUAUGACGAGGAACUCCGAUCGCGAAGGCAUCCUUCUGGAGUGCGAUUGACGCUGAGGCGCGAAAGCGCGGGUAUCAAACAGGAUUAGAUACCCUGGUAGUCCUCGCCGUAAACGAUGGAUGCUCGUCAUUGGGGCGUUAGUUUCAGUGACCAAGCGAAAGCAUUAAGCAUCCCGCCUGGGGAGUACGCCGGCAACGGUGAAACUCAAAGGAAUUGGCGGGG